rnacentral:rRNA from 1 species
AUUGAACGCUGGCGGCAGGCCUAACACAUGCAAGUCGAACGAGUGGCGGACGGGUGAGUAAUGUCUGGGAACCUCCCUGGUGGAGGGGGAUAACUACUGGAAACGUUAGCUAAUACCGCAUACUAUCCUAUGGGCCCAGAUGGGAUUAGCUGGUGGGUGGGGUAACGGCUCACCAAGGCGACGAUCCCUAGCUGGUAUGAGAGGAUGACCCGCAACACUGGAACUGAGACACGGUCCAGACUCCUACGGGAGGCAGCAGUGGGGAAUAUUGCACAAUGGGCGCAAGCCUGAUGCAGCCAUGCCGCGUGUAUGAAGAAGGCCUUCGGGUUGUAAAGUACUUUCAGCGGGGAAGCGGUACCCGAAGAAGAAGCACCGGCUAACUCCGUGCCAGCAGCCGCGGUAAUAC